UGAGCCUCUCUUUGCAAUAUCUUUUAAGCAGUGUUUACAACUGGGCCCAUUGUUUGGUUCAGGGGAGAAACUUCUGGAUAUUGUGCUAAGCUACAGAAAGUGACACUAUUUGGGGACAAAUAGAUCCACUAAGCCUUAAUGCUGCUGGUGGGUUGUUUUAGCAAGUGUGAUAUGUCAACCCAUCUAAUUGUGGUUUAUUCAAUCAAAUAUGGCUAAGCCAGCUGUGUUUAGCGUAAAGAGUGCACAACUCAUGUACAAAAAGCAAACUCAAAAUAUUUGCCAUGCAGAGUGAGGAGAUCUCUGAGCUGUCAGCUCCCUAGCAGCUGUUCGUUCAAAUUCAGGAUUCUGUUUUCAUUCCAGCUGGGCAGAAGCUGGUCAUGUCCAGCUGAUCAUAUAUGGCUGUCUCAGCUUGCUUCCUGCCAUGUUGUGUGGGACAAACCCCCACUGGAUCCAUGACAAUUCGCCAGGGCCAACUCACUGCAGGACAAAAGUUACAUUGCGUUGGCCACCACUAUGCAAUCGAAACUCCACCCUUUUUACAUCUGUCACAAUGCACAAUCAAGGGCGGAGGUUUGAUUGCAUGGUGAUUUCCACCAUGUUGAUGUUUUUGACCACUUUGUGGACGUUUGGCAAUGCAGGUAAGAAAGAUUGGGCCUUUGAAUGCAUGGCUGUGGCCGCCAUUUUGACUAUUUUACUUCCUUUGUAGACACCCCUGAACUUGACAAAUCCAGUUGUUUUAUGAUUCUGAAAGGGUUAACUGUAUAGAAAAUGAAUCAAGGUCUCACCUAAUGAUAGGACUAGCUGUGAAGUUUCUUUCCUAACACCCUUCUUCUGACUGAGCGCUGAAGAGGUAAGAUGGGAGAAGGCAGAUCACAGAUGGAGAUGGUCCACCUUGACUGGUCUAAAGUUCCUGCAGCUUUUCCAAGCUUGGGCAGUUGAAAUGGUUGUAGUGAGUUGGUACCCAGCUACACCCACAUAAACUGUCCAAAUUCUCAGCAAUGGGCACACCGGCUGAGAAAAACCUGUAAGCUGAAAUCCACCCAGCUGAAGCGUUCCAGAGUGGAGAAGAUGGGUCUAAGCACAACAGUUUCGCUUGGCAUAUGACUUACAAAGAUGUGUGACCUCAACCAGUUGUGGCUUCUUCAAAGCCGCGACUUAGCACAGUAGGUGAACGCAGCCUGGUAGAAGCAAAAGCUUAGAAUAUUUCAUAUAUUUCCCUUAGCUACUCUUUUUCUUCUGGACAACUUCUUCCUUCUAUUUUUCACACCACGGGAGAUAGGGUUGCGCCAUGCCAAACCUUUUCUAGCGAUCGCAUUUCCUUUUAUUGCCCAAUGUUCUUUCUGUGGAAAAAAGAAAGGGGGGAGGGAGAGAAAUGUCCUGGGGUUUGUGUUUUUCAACCUCCCGUGCCAUGUUUAUUCGCAGGCCACCAAUGUAGCAGGCAAUUGGCUGUAUCAACUGUGUGCCCUGGUGCCAAUGAUCCAGUUCCCCAGGGGUUGGGGCUGUGCGUAAGGAGUUAUGCAAACUUGUCUCUGCAAGAUUUUCAAAUUGUUCUCUUUCUUCAUGCCAGCUCCUGCUUCACUGCAGCAGAACUUGCAUGAUGCAACUCAAGUCUCCAGCUACACCUAGGAAGGACCACCACGUCCAGCAGAGCCAACGGGAUCGACUUUGCAUGCAUUCGGAUGCCAGGAUCACUUUUAUCUUCUGAGAAAAGCGCCGCUCAAAGUGGAACAUUUUCCACGUGAAAAAAUAAAGAGGGGAAAAGUGGGAUGACACAUUUCUUAAACUGAAGUGCUGGCCAGAACAGACUAGCAGCAACCAGAAUCCGUGUUUCAUUUGGUGCUUGUGUUAAAAUAGCAAAGAGAAUGCAAGGGAAAUCAGAGUACAAGAUCAAGGAAUCCCCUGGAGAGAGAAAAAAACAGGCCUUGCAUAGAGAAGUUUACCCAUUAUCUGCAAAUGCAGCCUGAAAACCUCUGCACAGGCAUCUGGGAACCACAAAUAAUUAAUAUAGCGCUUCCAUAUCCUCUGGAUCAAGGCGUUGGAUCACGAUCUCUGAAAAGAAAUAAAUCUGCAGCUGACUUUUUGGAAAGGCAUCUAAGCCACUGAAUUGCAGGAGGUACAGCUAGCCCUCCACUUACAACAGCUUGCUUAGUGACCGUUCGAAGUUUAUAACAGCACAGAAAGAAGUGACUUAUGACCAUUUUUCACACUUAUGAUCGUUUGCAGCAUCCACAUGAUCACGUCACUCACAUCCG